UUUCCGGUUGAUCCCGCCGGACCUGACUGCUAUCGGGGUGGGGCUAAGCCAUGCGAGUCGGCGCCCCUAGCCACGGUGGGGUGCGGCGCACGGCUCCGUAAAACACGGCUAACCUACCCUUAGGACGGGGAUAACCUCGGGAAACUGAGGCUAAUCCCCGAUAGAUGAGGAACUCUGGAACGCUUCCUCAUCUAAAGGAUCUCAGGACCAUGCUCCUGGGAUUGCCUAAGGAUGGGGCCGUGGCCUAUCAGGUUGACGGUGAGGUAACGGCUCACCGUGCCUAUAACGGGUACGGGCCGUGAGAGCGGGAGCCCGGAGAUGGGCACUGAGACAAGGGCCCAGGCCCUACGGGGCGCAGCAGGCGCGAAACCUCCGCAAUGCGCUAACGCGCGACGGGGUCACCCCGAGUGCCAGUCGCUGAGACUGGCUUUUCCCCAGUGUAAAAAGCUGGGGGAAUAAGCGGGGGGCAAGUUCUGGUGUCAGCCGCCGCGGUAAUACCAGCUCCGCGAGUGGUCGGGGCGUUUAUUGGGCCUAAAGCGUCCGUAGCCAGCUCAGCAAGUUCCUCCUUAAAUCCCAUGGCUUAACCGUGGGGCUGGGAGGAAUACUGCUGGGCUAGGGGGCGGGAGAGGCCGAGGGUAUUCCCGGGGUAGGGGCGAAAUCCUAUAAUCCCGGGAAGACCACCAAUGGCGGAGGCACUCGGCCAGAACGCGCCCGACGGUGAGGGACGAAAGCCAGGGGAGCAAAAGGGAUUAGAGACCCCUGUAGUCCUGGCUGUAAACGAUGCGGGCUAGGUGUUGGUUGAGCUUCGUGCUCAACCAGUGCCGCAGGGAAGCAGUUAAGCCCGCCGCCUGGGGAGUACGGCCGCAAGGCUGAAACUUAAAGGAAUUGGCGGGGGAGCACCACAAGGGGUGGAGGCUGCGGUUCAAUUGGAGUCAACGCCGGA
rnacentral:rRNA from 1 species